rnacentral:rRNA from 1 species
CAGUCGCCGCGGUAAUACAGAGGGUGCGAGCGUUAAUCGGAUUUACUGGGCGUAAAGCGUGCGUAGGCGGCUUUUUAAGUCGGAUGUGAAAUCCCUGAGCUUAACUUAGGAAUUGCAUUCGAUACUGGGAAGCUAGAGUAUGGGAGAGGAUGGUAGAAUUCCAGGUGUAGCGGUGAAAUGCGUAGAGAUCUGGAGGAAUACCGAUGGCGAAGGCAGCCAUCUGGCCUAAUACUGACGCUGAGGUACGAAAGCAUGGGGAGCAAACAGGAUUAGAUACCCCCGUAGUCCCUGUCUCUUCUAC